rnacentral:rRNA from 1 species
UACGUAGGGGGCGAGCGUUAUCCGGAAUUAUUGGGUGUAAAGGGCGCGUAGACGGUUUAAUAAGUUGAUUGUGAAAGCUCUGGGCUCAACCCAGAAAGUGCAGUCAAAACUAUUAAUCUUGAGUGCAGGAGAGGAAAGUGGAAUUUCUAGUGUAGCGGUGAAAUGCGUAGAUAUUAGGAGGAACACCAGUGGCGAAGGCGACUUUCUGGACUGUAACUGACGUUGAUGCGCGAAAGUGUGGGGAGCAAACAGG